rnacentral:siRNA from 1 species
GUCAGCCCUAUCAAAGAUAAUCUA